GCUGAAGAAGAUGAGGCUGGAGAAGAAAACAGGAGCCAAAUCACGAAUCGUCUAUGCCUUGGAAUUGCUCCAUUCCAAUAAAAAUAUUUUAAAUUUAAUCAUUGACAACAGUUAAGCUGGCCAUAGGCUGAGGAUUGAGGAUGGUGGGUUGCACAAAUAUCUGCUGAAUGGAGAGCUAGAAGGAGGAUGACUUCAAGAAGAGUCAGCAAUAGGAACGCAAUGAAAGACAACCUCAAAUUCAUUAGUCAGCCUGUCUCAGCUGCUUUUUGGUGGCUCACAGCUAUGCUAACCUAGCAUAAAGCAGUGAGAAAUAGAAUACUUCAUUUUGAGCAGAGCUUCAGAAAACCACAAAUAGUAAAAGCCCUAUAAAUAAUAGCUACAGCUGCAAACCAAAGACUAAUUAUUAGUUUUUAACUCUAUAUCCCUGUAGAGCAGCAUUUUUGAACACACAAAAAAAGAGAAACGCGUUCACUUACGUCUUAGAUUAUUUAAAUACAGUAUUCUCAAUUUGUCUAGGAUAAAAAAGCAUUUAGGUGUAUUGAACAACCAUAUAAUGGAUAAUAUACUGAACAGGAAAUGAGAAUAAUUAGCUUGAGUCCCUUUUUUGUCAGUUGUUCACCGUAUGACCCUAGCAAUGUUACUUAACCUCUCUAUGCCCUAGUUUCUCUGACUGUAAAAUAGAGAUAAUAAUAACUUUCUAUCAGCCGCCUCUCAAAGAUAUUAUAGGAAAUAACAAAUUAAUGCUAUGAAAGCUCUUUGAGGUACUUGGAUGAAAGGGCAUAAUUGUAAGUACAUAUUAUUAGUAAUUAGCACUAAUAUCCAGUAGCACCCAUGAGCAUUCCUGACUUUGCUGCCUGGAUUACUCAAAGAACAUGAAGGAUCCUGUUUUGAAAUACACUUAGAUCUUUUUUCUUAACUUGUGAAUUGACUUUACUAUUUAUGAUCAAACCUUGUGUAUUAACAAAUAUAGUUAAUGAAAGAGGGAAGUAAAAAGAAGUUUUGGUAACCACAACUUUUAUAUUCAUGCUACUCAUAGCUAAUAUAUGCUUUGGGGGAAAAUACAGGGUAGAUAGGGAUUUGCCAGAAGCAUGUUUUAGAAUUAAUGAUUAGUCUACUCCAGUCAGUUAACUGGAAUUUUGUAUUAAAAACAUUAUUCAUGUCCCCAUAGAAUAAUGCAGUCCCUAUAGAAUUUAUAGACAGUUACAUGUUUGACACAAUUAAGUUGAACAUUCCUGUGAAACUCUGUCAUUCUCAUCACUGUUUAAUCACAAACAUGUAAUGAAAUAUAUAGACUUGUGAAGUUUUGUCCAAUGUCUAUCCCUAAAGUAGAUGAGAAUUUUUUCCAUUAAAUUGGUGACUUCAGUAUUUCCUUUAGAGAGGUG
rnacentral:lncRNA from 1 species